AUUGAACGCUGGCGGUAUGCUUAAGACAUGCAAGUCGAACGGUAACAGACCGUUCGGGUGCUGACGAGUGGCGGACGGGUGAGUAACACGUGGGAAUCUACCUUAUAGAGGGGGAUAAGCCGGGGAAACCCGGACUAAUACCGCAUACGCCCUACGAGGGAAAGGCGCAAGUCGCUAUAAGAUGAGCCCGCGUCUGAUUAGCUAGUUGGUGAGGUAAAGGCUCACCAAGGCGACGAUCAGUAGCUGGUCUGAGAGGAUGGCCAGCCACAUUGGGACUGAGACACGGCCCAGACUCCUACGGGAGGCAGCAGUCGGGAAUAUUGGACAAUGGGGGCAACCCUGAUCCAGCAAUACCGCGUGUGUGAAGAAGGCCUGCGGGUUGUAAAGCACUUUCAGUUGGGAAGAUAAUGACGUUACCAACAGAAGAAGCACCGGCUAACUCUGUG
rnacentral:rRNA from 1 species